GGAUGUGAGGGCCAUCUGGCUGCAACAUCUGUCACCCAUGAUCACCAGAGUUGAUUCCACUGAUCUGGCUGGCUAGGCGGGUGUCCCUUUCCUCCCUCAGUUCUCCACAUGAGUCCCGUCUGAAGCUCCGUGCUGUUCCAAGCGGAGACCUUCCCCACUCUCCGGUCAGGUGCAGAUGCAUAGCUGGACUCCCCUGUUAGAAUAUUCAAACACCCUCUCAAGGUCCGUUUGUAGGAGGACACGGGUAAGUCAAGCUUCCAUGACUCUAGACAUGUCCAAAUGAGGCGCUGCAGGUGCAGUCGGCCUCCCCCC
ensembl:misc_RNA 7SK 7SK RNA